rnacentral:rRNA from 1 species
GAUGAACGCUGGCGGCGUGCCUAAUACAUGCAAGUCGAGCGAACGGACGAGAAGCUUGCUUUUCUGAUGUUAGCGGCGGACGGGUGAGUAACACGUGGAUAACCUACCUAUAAGACUGGGAUAACUUCGGGAAACCGGAGCUAAUACCGGAUAAUAUUUUGAACCGCAUGGUUCAAAAGUGAAAGACGGUCUUGCUGUCACUUAUAGAUGGAUCCGCGCUGCAUUAGCUAGUUGGUAAGGUAACGGCUUACCAAGGCAACGAUGCAUAGCCGACCUGAGAGGGGGAUCGGCCACACUGGAGCUGCGACACGGUCCUUACGCCUACGGGAGGCAGCAGUAGGGAAUCUGCCGCAAUGGUCGAAAGCCUGACGGAGCAACGCCGCGUGAGUUAUGAAGGUCUUCGGAUCGUAAAACUCUGUUAUUAGUGAAGAACAUAUGUGUAAGUAACUGUGCACAUCUUGACGGUACCUAAUCAGAAAGCCCCGGCUAACUACGUG